UGCACAUGCCGAGCACGCGCCGUCGUCUUCCCGAUUUCGAAUUCCCCAUUGCUCCCCGCGUGGCGGCCACGCGACUAGCCCUACCCUGCGCAACGCCUCCAUCUGCUCCUACCCGCGUCCCCGUGGUGAUCGAGCAGAUCCGCGUAGGGCGGUGUGGGUCGGGGGCGGAUGGGGAGUUGGAGACUGCGAAGGCGGAGGCAGGAGGGAUGGGGGCCCUUUCCGUUGACUCGGCGACCACCGGCUCCGGUGUCGUCACUAGCGGCGCGGCUACCCUAAUUUGGAUUCCUGAGAACUGAAUGGUGCAGAGGAGGAGCCUGAUUAGGGGAUCGCUUGCUAUAUUUGCAGAACUCAGGUGAGAUUGUUUCAUGGUUUCUUUGGUUUCCAAGGAACGAUGGCCAGCCCGUUUUGCUGGGAAUGUUACGCGCUGAAUAUUCACAGCACUGUUUGGGAUAUGCUAGUUUUUAUCUCCUCCUUUUCUAAUUUGCAUCAAAUAAGUAGCUAUGUUUAAUUCUUCAGAACCUUGGUGCACAGUAAAGUUUCCUUAUUAUGUCACACAGAUAUAGUAACAUCUUAAUACCAUAAUAUUAUUAUCAUUGUUUGACGAAUGUCAGAUGCCCCUUAGUAUAUGCAGAAAAGGUGAGCAAGAAGGCAAGAACAGCAAAUUUAUGAGUCACAGCUUCGCACCAACUGAAAAGGGAAUGGACAUUCCAUCAUUUGCACCUUCCUCGUCUUGUUCCCAAAUCCCAAUUGACUUUCACAUCCUUUGAACUGCUUAGGUUGUGUUAUGAUGGUUUUGCAGGUCCUUAUUAAUAUUUCUAUGAAUUUAACAAGACUUUUCUAGGAGAAAUGGUCUUGAAAGCAACACCAAGCCUUGGAGAGGAACAGGCAAGUGCCCAGGAGCUUGUGCUUCCGGACAGGUUAGUGUCAAGCUGUGUGUGCGCGCGCGCACGCACGCCUCUGCCAGAUCUCAAGAUAAUUUGCAUAAUACAUGUGAGCUUGUUUCAUGUUUACUUUGAAUUCCAUUGAACGAUGUCCCUUUUUUCUGGUGGAUUUUUUUUACCGCUGAUAUUUUCGAUUCAUUGUAAGUUUACCGCUGAGAGCUUCUACUGUCUUUGCAUCUUGCUUAGUAUUCUGUGCUUUGCUUUAGGUUUCUAGUUUUCUUUCGUUCAAGGUUUAAUUUAUUGAAAACAUGCAUUAAUUCUUAUCCCUUGUAUGACAAGGUGAAAACUUGUCUUGGUCAAUGCUGCUUGAAUUAAGUAAAAGCUUGAUCACUGUCUACUAUUUGCUUACUGUCUGGUGUUAAUGGUCCUGUUUAUGCUCUAUUCUUAGUGUUAGGACCGAAACUUGACAGAAAACAUAGAACACAUGUGACUCAACUCCAUUUUUGUAUGCAUGAUCCAUUUGUAGCUGCUUCGGUGAUUAAAGUUAUUUGACCACUGUUUAUGUGACUGUUAAUAGUAUAAACAGAAUAAAAAUUUGGAAAACUUAAUUGUUAACUACUCGACCUUUGGAAUUUGGAGGUAAGCUAUAGCAUUGUUACACGAAACAAAGUGUCUUGUAAUUAAUUGAUGGUUUUGAAUAUGAAUGAAAGGUUUAGCUCUGUUUUAGAUGGCGAGUCAUCUUAAUGCAUGUAUAGUGAUGAUGUAAUAACUGUUUUAAUGUUGACAUGAUGAAUGGGUGACAGCCCCCACCAUCGGAUAAUAGUUUCUUAUGAAUAUUUUGGUUAGCAAGCCAUGAACUAAUUAACUUUGGUUAAUUGCAUUUCAUGGAUAUUCCAGUUAACAAUAUAGAAGCGGUGAAUUUAUUUGUUUUGGAAAUGGUUCUUGUAUUAUGACUUUCCUUAGGAUUAACAGUAGAAAACAUUGAACAAAUUAUGUUUUGGAGACCGAACGCAUGUUCAAACCUACACUAAUUUGUGAUGGUAGACAGUAGGACAGCUUCCGCUACUACUUGGAUAUUGACUCUGACGCUUGUUGCUAGAUAUAAAAAGAUAUGAUAUACUGGCAAAGCUGGUGUGUAGAGUUUUUCAUCAUUUAUGAUUCACCGCCUUUAAGCCAUAUAGUGGUUCCUGCUUAGUGAGUUGUGUAUGUGGCAUGCCUAUUUUUUCUAAAAAUAACUUUUCCAAUAGUCGUGGGCAUGUAUAUCUUGGACUAUAAACACAACUCAGGGCCAAGUAAUAGGAGGGUUGUAUUUUUUUUUUGCCAGUUUCCCUUAUAAUUGUCUCUAUCUGCCUGCACCCUGUGGGGACUAUUGUUGUCUGCAAUUAGUCAAACUUUCAAACUUUGGACAUUGCUCUACAUUCGAGUGUUAAGAUUAAAUGGACAUAAUAUUAAUUAAUUCAGCGUCAAUACUUCACCAUCACGUCAGCUUCUUGCAAAAUCGACACUUUUGCUGCAACCAAGAUAUUUCUGUGCUAUGCUUGCAUAUUCUUUUGCUGUAACCUUUACCCAACUUUCUGUCAUUCUCCAACCAGUUUCUGAUAUGAUUAUUCAGAAGCUGACUGGAAUGAAUUUGUGUUUUGCAUUCUGAUAUUAGACAUGUUUUGUAAUCAUGUUGUCAUGAUCUUUAAUUAACUUGCCUUCAUCAACUAUUUGCACAUCUUUGCUCGAAAUUUCUUAGUCCAAAACAUUGCCACAUUACAUGAGUAGAAUUCUAUAGCAGGAUAGUUUCUGUUCAUGUCGAAAGUGUAUCUGCUGGGCCACAUACCAUUUAUACGAGAACACCAAUCCUUGGUCUUCUUGUAGGUAAUAUGACUAAAAUUGGUGGUAUUUAUUUUCAGAAACCUAAUAUUAGCCUAGAGGAGUUCUUUUAUUAUCUCUAUUCAACAUGGCGAUCGAGCUUUUGCUUUCUAAUUAUGAUAAUAAUGGCCUGUUAAUUCAUCCAGCAUAUUUAUUAUCUAGUGUGCAAAUUGUGGCCUUUUCUUCCUAACAUAUACUUGCAUGCUUUGAUGGGUGCAUUUCUCCAUUUGUCCCCGGUGAUUUUCUUUUUCGCAGGUGGCAUAAUGAGUGACAGUUUCAGUGGAUUAUUCUGUUUUCAACAAUAUCCUAUUUACUAGUUGCGUGCGUAGCAGCAAGACUUUCAUAUACUCCGCUAACGUUAGUGAUGUUCUUUUACUAUGUAUCGAAGCACAUGGUCAGGAUCUGUUCCUGCGCUGGCCUUUCCAAACCCUUUUUUUCCUCCCUAGUAAUCAUAUUGAGCAAAACCUGAUAAUGUUUCAUGUUACUGAAAACAGACAGGUUGAUAAUGUUGGUUACUGUACGUA